rnacentral:lncRNA from 1 species
GAGUUUUAUUUGAGGACAAACAAAUGUUUAAGUUUGGGGAUGUUUGAUAAGUGUAUUUCAUACACUUAUUUGAGCCCUAAAAUAAUAAUAUUUGAUAGUUCUUUUGACAAAUUAUAUCCUAAAUUGUUGUUUUUAUGUUUACUAGAUAAAUUUCUUGAAUGAAGAAGGGAGUGAAGGAAAGAAGCAAAAACUAGCGAAAAAUGGCAAAAUCCAAAAUACGAGGACCAAAUUUGGCUGUUGGACAAAUUUAAUAAACAUAAAGUUGAUGGGCCAUUUAUCAAUUGGAGUUGGAAUGGGAAGUGGGCUUUAUGUUAAACCAAUGAAAAUUAACUUGGGCCUUAAUUGAGCUUGUAUUUGGAAGACAUGUAAAAAUCAAAUUGGAUAAUUGUUAGAUUAACAAAUAGGGCUGCCUGGG